AUUGAACGCUGGCGGCAUGCUUUACACAUGCAAGUCGAACGGUAACAGGCCUUCGGUUGCUGACGAGUGGCGAACGGGUGAGUAAUGCAUCGGAACGUGCCCAGAGGUGGGGGAUAACGCAGCGAAAGCUGUGCUAAUACCGCAUGUGAUCUGAGGAUGAAAGCGGGGGACCAGGCAGCAAUGUUUGGCCUCGCGCCUUUGGAGCGGCCGAUGUCCGAUGAGGUGGUUGGUUGGGUAAAGGCCUACCAAGCCGACGAUCUGUAGCUGGUCUGAGAGGACGAUCAGCCACACUGGAACUGAGCCACGGACCAGACUCCUACGGGAGGCAGCAGUGGGGAAUGUUGGACAAUGGGCGGAAGCCUGAUCCAGCAAUGCCGCGUGCGGGAAGAAGGCCUUCGGGUUGUAAACCGCUUUUGUACGGAACGAAAAGGCUCUGGCUAAUACCUGGGGCUGAUGACGGUACCGUAAGAAUAAGCACCGGCUAACUACGUG
rnacentral:rRNA from 1 species